AAGCGAAGAUAAGGACAGGGCCUAAGUAAGUCAUUAUAUCUCUUCCAAGCUUCAUACAACGACUCACCAUCAAACUAUUUAAACCAAGUAAUAUCAUUCCUCAUCUU
rnacentral:snoRNA from 1 species